UGUGAGCCAAUCAGCUGCCAGAGUAACACAUUCACGCGCUUGUUUAAAGUGAGGAGGAAACGUGUGAGGGGGCUACACGGAGAGCUACAACGGACAAGAAAGCCACACUAAAACGAUAACACCGAGGACGCAUUGCCUUUGCUUCGAUGCAGAGAGCCAGACUAGCAGUCAUGGCGGCGGAUGACACAGAAGGGAUGAUGAUGCCGGUUGAUCUGAAUUAUGAAUACAAGAGUCUAACAUCUGGGAACGUAAGCGUUCUGUGGAGUUCUACAAGCUCUUUGCCCUCUCAAACUGGAAUUAGAUGACCUGGAGGUGGGUUACGAAACUGAACAACUACAUUUUAAGAGGACUAUGUUAAAGAAUUUCCAUCAUGGCGGCGGAUGACACAGAAGGGACGUUGAUGCAGGUUGAUCUGAAUUAUGAAUACAAGAGUCUAACAUCUGGAAUCGUAAGCGUUCUGUGGAGUUCUACAAGCUCUUCUUUGCCCUCUCAAACUGGGAUUAGAUGACCUGGAGGUGGGCUCCAUCAAUCCUGAAGCCUGAAGACGGUAGACUUACUGUAAAGCUGGGUCAGAUGUUCAAGCCUUUGUGAAUAUGAUCAACAACAAGAACGUGACACCCUGACAGCACAUGUCCUUCCAGUGACUGGAACAACUCCACGCUGAGAAUUGGCCGUCUUGUGCCCAGAAAACCCUUCCAGUCCCGCAGCAACAGCCACCGACGCAAAACAGAUCGUACCCAAGUUCAGUUGGGACGUUCACUUGCUGCGUAUACGACCUGCUGCUGGUCCCAGAGCUGCUGCAGAACGACCACAAAUGACCCAACUCGGUGCCGGAAAACGCAUCAGCGAUGUACCAGGUGUUGAACCAGAGAUGCGACUACAUAAAGAAUGUUGGGACGAUAAGAUCUUCAAGCUCUCCAGAUGUGGUGUUGGAUUUAUUGCUGGGUAUCUUCAGAUAUUAUUUUUACCAUCGUUGCAACAAAAACCAUGUCCAGGCACAUACUGUAAUACAUAUGCAACAGCCCAGCACCUGAAAUGUGUGCUGCGUAUCAUAGCGUCGAGCUGUUGAGUAAUCCUUUGAGUCAGAGCAGUCCUCUGCAUCACACUAAUGGCUUUUACUGACGCGACAGUGUUCCUCUGAAGGGAUUACAGAUUUGGAGGUUGGCCUUGCAUCAUCAGAGGCUUUGGCUCAUCUUUAAUAUUUACUGGCUGACAAAACCACAGAACAUGCAGAGAUCCAAGCGUGAUGAUGCGUAAAUGUUGUUGGCUGUGCGGCAUGAUGUGAAAUCCAUGAAAUUUAACACUGACAUACCCCAAGUAAUGAUGGAGGCAACAGUGCAUCUGUUCACUACAGUUUCUGCAAGACGGUGCAGGAAAUGAUCUACGUGAACCUAGAUGAGUCUGAUGGUUACAUAUUUACAUAAUGGGAGAUGAGUGUGUGUGUGCGUGCGCGCGCGCGCAAGUAAGAGGGUUCUUUCAUUAGUGGAUUGAAUAUCAGAAUUGAAUUGAUUGGUUUUGUUUUCAUUAAUUAAAAAAAAAACACUUGCAUCCAUUUUUCUGUAAACACGACUUGCUGAUUUUCAGGCACUUGAGAAACACUGCAUGGUGCUCUGAUGUUAACUGAGCCUCUGUGUAGUUUGAAGGGGGAAAAAAUGUAUAAUAUGACGACUCUAAUCUUUGUCCAUCUCUGCUGCAUUGUAUGAUUUGAACCACCAGGUGGCAGUUAAAUAUCAGUGUUCCAGCAGUCAGUGGACAUACAUCAGGGGGUCUGAAGGCAUGAAACCUUUAACACUGAAAACUCGAAAUAUAAAGCAGUUUUUUUAUUUUAUUUAUUUGAUUCACUUGUCAGUCCUCCAAAUCAUUAUUUCAACAUCUUUGGAAUUAUGGUGGUUUUGAAUGGCAUCAAUUUAUUUUUUUUUACAUUUUAUUUUGUUUGUUUGAUUAGCUUGUCACUACAUAGACGUUCUUUAGGGUUUUAUUCUCAUUUCUUACAGUUGCUGCAUUUCUUUGAACUCCUUUGUAUUUUAAAUUCUUUCAGGGUUUAAUUCCCCUAAGUAUUAUCUGAAGGAAUAUUGACUUGAAAAAUAUUCCAUCUGUACCGUAACCACAUUGUCUAACCGCGACUGUUUCAGUAUUCAAGUCUGUGCGAAGGGCCCUUGACUCCAUUUGAUGUAGAACAAGAGACGAAUCAAUUAUUCACCUGGUUAAUUGUUAACUGAGACCA